UGCCAGACUCCUACGGGAGGCAGCAGUGGGGAAUAUUGCACAAUGGGGGAAACCCUGAUGCAGCGACGCCGCGUGAGCGAUGAAGUAUUUCGGUAUGUAAAGCUCUAUCAGCAGGGAAGAAGAUGACGGUACCUGACUAAGAAGCCCCGGCUAACUACGUGCCAGCAGCCGCGGUAAUACGUAGGGGGCAAGCGUUAUCCGGAUUUACUGGGUGUAAAGGGAGCGUAGACGGCGGCGCAAGCCAGAUGUGAAAGCCCGGGGCUCAACUCCGGGACUGCAUUUGGAACUGUGUGGCUGGAGUGUCGGAGAGGCAGGCGGAAUUCCUAGUGUAGCGGUGAAAUGCGUAGAUAUUAGGAGGAACACCAGUGGCGAAGGCGGCCUGCUGGACGAUGACUGACGUUGAGGCUCGAAAGCGUGGGGAGCAAACAGGAUUAGAUACCCCCGUA
rnacentral:rRNA from 1 species